GACGAACCAUCCAAACGUUAUUCGGAAUUACUGGGCUUAAAGGGUGCGUAGGCUGCGCAGAAAGUUGGGUGUGAAAUCCCUCGGCUUAACCGAGGAACUGCGCCCAAAACUACUGUGCUUGAGGGAGACAGAGGUGAGCGGAACUUAGGGUGGAGCGGUGAAAUGCGUUGAUAUCCUAAGGAACACCCGUGGCGAAAGCGGCUCACUGGGUCUCUUCUGACGCUGAUGCACGAAAGCUAGGGGAGCGAACAGG
rnacentral:rRNA from 1 species